rnacentral:rRNA from 1 species
AUACGUAGGGGGCGAGCGUUGUCCGGAAUGAUUGGGCGUAAAGGGCGCGUAGGCGGCCUGUUAAGUCUGGAGUGAAAGUCCUGUUUUCAAGAUGGGAAUUGCUUUGGAUACUGAUGGGCUUGAGUGCAGGAGAGGUUAUCGGAAUUCCCGGUGUAGCGGUGAAAUGCGUAGAGAUCGGGAGGAACACCAGUGGCGAAGGCGGGUAACUGGACUACAACUGACGCUGAGGCGCGAAAGUGUGGGGAGCAAACAGGAUUAGAUACCCUGGUAGUCCACACUGUAAACGAUGAAUGCUAGGUGUAAGAGGUAUCGACCCCUUUUGUGCCGGAGUUAACACAAUAAGCAUUCCGCCUGGGGAGUACGGCCGCAAGGUUGAAACUCAAAGGAAUUGACGGGG